CCUACGGGAGGCAGCAGUGGGGAAUAUUGCACAAUGGGGGAAACCCUGAUGCAGCGACGCCGCGUGGGUGACGAAGUAUUUCGGUAUGUAAAGCCCUAUCAGCAGGGAAGAAGAUGACAGUACAUGACUAAGAAGCCCCGGCUAACUACGUGCCAGCAGCCGCGGUAAUACGUAGGGGGCAAGCGUUAUCCGGAUUUACUGGGUGUAAAGGGAGCGUAGGUGGCAUGGCAAGCCAGAAGUGAAAACCCGGGGCUUAACCCCGCGGAUUGCUUUUGGAACUGUCAGGCUGGAGUGCAGGAGGGGCAGGCGGAAUUCCAGGUGUAGGAGUGAAAUCCGUAGAUAUCUGGAGGAACAUCAGUGGCGAAGGCGACUAUCUGGCACAUAACUGACGCUGAGGAGCGAAAGCGUGGGUAGCAAACAGGAUUAGAUACCCUAGUAGUC
rnacentral:rRNA from 1 species